AUGAACGUACAAGAAGUUAUAGAGAGCAAAAAAGAACGUAUCAAAUUUUAUGUUAUUAAUAAUGAAUUAAUAAAUAAAUUACAUUUAAUAAAACAAAAUGUCUUAUUUGUAAAAACUAUUCAUAAAGAAGAGAAUAAAACAGUAUAUGUCCUUUUUUUAACUAAAACAAGUAUACAUAUAAAUAAAUAUAAUAUAACAAACAUAUAUCCAGAAAUUAUACAAUUAGAUAUGUAUUCUAAUAUAAAACUUAAUAGCAAUGUUGUACAUUAUUAUUUUGAAAAAAAUUUUAUUUUACUAUCUUAUAUAGAUAAUUCAAUUGAAUUGUUUCAAAUAGAUGUUACUACACAUAACAUAAUUUUUCGUAUUGAUUCUUUUUGUUUGUAUAAAUAUAUACAUACAUUACAUUUAAUAACAAACAUAGAUAAAGUUUAUCAAAAUGCAUAUUUAUUAGUUUGUAUUGGUUUUAAAGGAUCUUGCAAUUUAAUAAUUUAUUUUUUAAAACCAUAUAAUUUAAAAUUUUAUGUAAAUUAUUUAUUUUCAAAUGAAGGGAUAAAAAGUAGGGCCAAUAACAGUGAUAGUUUGUUAGGUGAGAAAAAUGAUGAAAGUGAUUCGAAUAUAAAUAGGAAUAACCACAACAUACAUAACAACCAUCAUGUUAAUCAUUUCGAUUCGAAUAAAAAUAAUAAUUUUUUUUUACGUUUAUUUGAGAAUGGAAAGACUUAUCUGAAAAAACAAACAGACAAUGUUAAUUAUACGAAUAAAAAUUAUAUAACUUGCAAGUAUACAUAUGAAUUAGACAUUUUAGAUGAUAAUAGUAUCGUCACAAGUAUAAGUAAACUAAAUAAUUUUUUAUUGAUUGGACUGAGUAGUGGUGUAGUAAAAGUAUAUGACAUUUUUUAUAAAAAAAAUAAAUAUGUACAUAUAGAUAAUAAACAUACUACUAUAUUUCUUAAUCAUUUUUUAUUAUAUAAAAACCAAAAAAAAAUAACAAAAGAGUAUGAUUCAUUUUUAGUAGGAAAUGGUAGCAUUUAUUUUGUUAAUACUUUGAAAAUGCAGGAGUGGGAAAAAGGACAAGAGGAAAAACCGUUCAUAUAUAAAAAAAUGUUUUAUACUAUUGCAUAUUGUGAUAACAACCUGUAUUUAUUUCAGUCAAAUAUAAUAAAAAAAAGGAGAAAUGGGAACAUAAGUAAAAAUAUAAGCAAAAAUAUAAGCAAAAAUAAAAACGAAAAUAUAAGCAAAAAUAUAAACGAAAAUAUAAGCAAAAAUAUAAGCAAAAAUAUAAACGAAAACGUAAGCAAAAAUAUAAACGAAAACGUAAGCGAAAACAUAAUCGAAAACAAUUUUUAUUGUAAAAUACAAAACAAAUACAUAAAAGAGAUGAAGAAAAAAACAAGCAUAUAUAUGAAUAAUUUUGCAAAUCCAGAACAAAAAAAAUGUUCAUAA
rnacentral:lncRNA from 1 species